GAUUAUAUGGUGUAAUAGUUAGCGCUUCAGACUCUGACUCUCUGACAAUCUGAGUUCAAAUCUCAGUAGAGCCU
rnacentral:tRNA from 1 species